UGCCUCUUCCCUCCCUAAAGUCGAGCCCAGAUGCCUCUUCUUCCCUAAAGCUGAGCCAAGAUGAUCUCCUAGCUUGAACCCAAACCGGCGUUCAACUCAACUCCAUUCUUGAACCCAACGUCGAGCCCGUUCACAUCUGGAUUCUUGCUAAUAGACAAUCUGUUGCGCGGUCUAAAAAGUCGAAGAUUCGCUAUACCAAUGAGCUAGAGAGGAAGGUCCAGACCCUUCAAACUGAAGCCACCACCCAUUCUGCGCAGGUUGCAUUGCUCCAGAGGGAUACUACUGGGUUAACUACUGAGAAUAAGGAGCUCAAAAUGCAGUUACAGGCUAUGGAGCAACAAGCACAACUCAGAGAGGGAAUGAAUCCAUGUUGCUAUUUUCUGAGAGAAAUUAUGGACUAUUCAAGGCUGAUGGCACCAUUUCAUAUGACAUUGGGUUUCAUGGACUUGAUUCUUCAUCUGCAGAUUCAUUAUGUUUAUCCCCGAAGGACUCUCCUAUGCUAGCCCCAGCAGAGAAGUACUUAGUCACAAGAGCAUUUGGUGCUCCAGCAGUUCUUCUAACCUUGGCUAUGCAGGGUAUCUUCAGAGGGUUUAAGGAUACAACUACACCUUUAUAUGUCAUAUUGUUGGGAUAUUCAUUGAAUGUUGCCCUUGACCCUCUCCUGAUCUUUGUCUGCCACUUGGGAAUCAGAGGUGCAGCCAUUGCACAUGUUCUUUCUCAGAUGAAGGCCUUCACAAUUCAAGUAAAAUUGCUGCUUUCGAUUUUGAUGGAUGUCUUGCAAACACUUCUAUUAGAAGGUUAUCUUUACCAAUGAAUCAAACAUUGAGCGCUGGAAAAAUAAGAGACAAGUUGCCGUGGACUCAAAAAUUGGUCGCCUAAACAAAUUAAUGAGACAAUGAAAGUCCCAAUUCAGUUAUUGCAUGGGAAGAAAAGUAAAGCACGGGGUCCCUGAAGAUUGAGUCUGUGAAUUUGGGAAGAGAGAUGAAGCUGUCACAAUAGUAAUGAGCAAGGGGCAAUUGUCAAUUUCCCAGCUUCAUUCCAAGAAGAAAAAGCCAGUAGAAACUGGUAAAGUUAAGUUCAUUCCUCAUGAAGAAAUCCUUAAGCUAUCUUCAGAGACCUUCAACGAGUCAAGAGAAAUAACUCGAACAAAAUGACAGCAUGUAUCUAGCAAAGUUGGAAUUUCAAAUAAAAAGAAAGAGAAGAAACUAGUUAAAGAACCAUGCACAUUGUUGCCAUCAUCACUUGAUGUUAGUGCAGUGUUUCUUAGUCCUCCUCCAAGCAGAAGGUGGUGUCUCGAAACAGUACAGAGUCAGAGUUCAGCGAUCUUGCUAAUGUUGUAGUCGAGCUCACUUGGUACAAAAUUCUGUUUGUUGAUCUCAAUAUUGCCUUGUCUUCUACACUAUGAUCUGGUGUGAUAAUGUCUCUGCUGCCCAACUCGCCUCAAAUCCAAUCUUUCAUGCUCCCACAAAGCACAUCGAGAAUGAUUUCCAUUUUAUAAGGGACAUGGUCACAAGAAGGAGCUUUCAAUCAGGUAUGUUCAAUCUGAAUAUCAAGUGGCAGACAUUCUCACCAAACACCUCCUUGUAGUUCAGUUCAAAAGCCUUUGUCACAAAUUGACUGUCCUGUCCAGGCCACCCAAUUUGAGGGGGCUGUUAAAGAACCUAUUAGUAGUUAGUUAUUUAGUUAGCACAGUAUUAACUACUUUUACUCUCUGUUAGUCUGUUACUUUUUUGGUCAGUUGACUAAGUCUUUUCUUGUUAUGUUACUAUCUACCUAACUCAGCUCUUAUAAAUAAAGGCUUGCUCAUCUGAUC